AUUGAACGCUGGCGGCAGGCCUAACACAUGCAAGUCGAGCGGAGCGGCGGACGGGUGAGUAAUGCCUAGGAAUCUGCCUGGUCGUGGGGGAUAGCGUCAGGAAACGGGCGCUAAUACAGCAUCCUAUCAGAUGAGCCUAGGUCGGAUUAGCUUGUUGGUGGGGUAAAGGCAUACCAAGGCGACGAUCCGUAACUGGUCUGAGAGGAGGAGCAGUCACACUGGAACUGAGACACGGUCCAGACUCCUACGGGAGGCAGCAGUGGGGAAUAUUGGACAAUGGGCGAAAGCCUGAUCCAGCCAUGCCGCGUGUGUGAAGAAGGUCUUCGGAUUGUAAAGCACUUUAAGUUGGGAGGCGUUACCAACAGAAGAAGCACCGGCUAACUUCGUGCCAGCAGCCGCGGUAAUUC
rnacentral:rRNA from 1 species